rnacentral:hammerhead_ribozyme from 1 species
GCACUGCUUAGGAGUCCCACAAUAGGACGAAAUGGCCGUCCAGUGC